UUCCGGCUCGUGUUCGACGAACUUCUGGACCCAGAAAAGAACGUCCUUUUCCGAUAUAUCAACGAGCAUGACCCUACCCAGUCACAAGUCUGGUUCAGAGAGGAAUGCCCCAACAACGAUACAGCGAUGAUGUGUGGUCUACUGUUUAGGUUGUCAUUGUUCAACAACGCACUUGUACCAUUGCCAGCUUUCCCACAACUGCUCUAUGCGAAGCUCCUAGGAAAAGGCCCCGGUGAGGAAAUGGAGGAAAUUCGAGAGCUUGACAAAGACUUCGCAGAUCAAAUGUCGAAACUACUAUCGACAGAGGAAGAGUUAUUGAGCGAGCUAGAGCUAGAGCUAGAGCUAGAGAAUGGAAAAAGAGACGAGGUCACCAAAGC